rnacentral:rRNA from 1 species
ACAGCAGCCGCCACGGUAAAACGGAGGGUGCAAGCGUUAAUCGGAAUUACUGGGCGUAAAGCGCACGCAGGCGGUCUGACAAGUCAGAUGUGAAAUCCCCGGGCUUAACCUGGGAACUGCAUUUGAAACUGUCAGGCUGGAGUCUUGUAGAGGGGGGUGGAAUUCCAGGUGUAGCGGUGAAAUGCGUAGAGAUCUGGAGGAAUACCGGUGGCGAAGGCGGCCCCCUGGACAAAGACUGACGCUCAGGUGCGAAAGCGUGGGGAGCAAACAGGAUUAGAUACCCGUGUAGUCCCUGUCUCUUAUAC